AGAAAGGACCUGCACCCAAUAACUCAAUUUAAGAUUUAAGGUUUUGAGGGGCGUGGGGUUGGAAUCGCCUUGGAGAAACGGGUUUGCCUGCUUACCUGAGCCAAAGGAAGUUGCCCUCAAAGGCAGAAGAAAUUAAAUCAUUUUUGGGAAGCCCUCAAGGUACCAUAAGCUCUGGGCAGUGUGCCUAAGACUUCUAAUGGAGAAUUUAGCCCUGUGCAGAUGAUAUUGCAGAGGAGGAAUGCUUAGUUAAUUUAGGUAAAGUAUGCACAGUAAAUACAAUUUCAUAAAAAAGCUUAUAGUCUAUGGUGUUAUGUAAACAACUAUAGACAAAUAGAAUAUUGCUUUUAUUUGUUAUCCUGUGUUAAACUGUGGCCAAAAUUACACACAUCAGUGUUAGAAAAAUUGCAGUAUUGCAGGCUUGAAGUGGUCCCCUUGUUCAAAUUACUGGCCCCUGCUGAGUGCUGGAAUACCUUCAGGGCGAUGGAAAAUUGUGGCACUCUCUUUGAUUUUAGAUUUUGGGACCAAAGCUGGCUGAUCUUUUGAUGAGUCGGUCUUAAUGAUUUGCUCUUUUAGGCCUUAUUCAAGGAUACUGGGAACCUCACACUCUUCAGAAAAAAAAAAGUUUUCCUCCUGGCAGGCCUAUCAGUUCAGUUGAAUCAAUAUGUAUUAGGUACCUCCCAUAUAGCAGCCUGUGUGCUAGGUACAUGGGUAGAGAUUUAUUAAGAAGAAUGAAAUUCAAUCCCUUACUUAGGAGCUCACAGAUGUGCAUUAACAGAAAAAUUACAAUUCAAUCUAAUCAUUCUCAUGAGUCCCUAGUUCCAUUUGUAAUAGAAGGUCCAAGGAGCAUUUGAACUGUGACUCUCAGACCCUUACCUCUUACUCUGAACUCUCAACUUCAAUCAGCACAUGCUGUUUCUAGCAGCUCUCUUCUGUCUUGGAGUCCUCACUGAAGUCCUCUAGAGUAUGUCCCUAUUGUCCCUGAAAACUGAUGGUGCUGGCUUUUCCUUUCAAAGCCUUGUUUUAAUUCUAGAUUUAAAAUAGCACUAAUGCCACAAGAAGUCUCUUACACAAUGGUAGAGUUCUCUUUCCAUAGACUUUGGAACACUGUUCUUUUGGAAAUGUUUACAAUGACACUUAUAAGAACUGGCUAUAUAUAUAUUAAUCUGCUUUGUGGUGGAAAUAAAUAUUUUGUAGAAUGCUUUGAAGCUUAGGCAAUUAGUUCUUUUUAACAAAAAUUAAUUUAAUUUUCUUUUAAGUUCCAGGAUACCUGUGCAGGACAUGACAUGCAGGUUUGUCAUGUAGGUAAACAUGUGCCAUGGUGGUUUGCUGCACCUGUCGACCCAUCACCUAGAAGGAAAAAAUUGGACACGGAGAUAAGGACAGAGGAAAGAUGAUGUGAAGACAGGGGCAGAAGUCAGCCAUCUACAAGUCAAAGGGAGACAUGUGGAACAGAUUCACCCUCACAGCCCUCAGAUGGAAGCAACACCACUAACACUUUGCUCUUGGACUUCUAGCUUCCAGAACUGAGAGACAAUAUCUUUCUGUUGCUUAAGUCAUUCUGUCUGUGAUACUGUGUUUAUGGCAGCCCUGGCAAACUAAUACAGUCCCACAAAGAUUUGGUUGUUGCUUUGCAAGAGAAUGUAUAAUUCCUGGUUAUUUCUACAAAUAAGGGCAUUGACUUUAUAAAGCUACAAGUAUACCCCAGUAUUCUGUUUCUGGUUUUUGUUUACUUUCAUAUAUGCUAUCUUUUCAUUCCCAGGUG
rnacentral:lncRNA from 1 species